GGGCUUGCAACCGUCACUUGUGUCUUGAACAGUUAAAAGAUAGAACGGUCAAGUCAAGUGCCAUGUCUCUUAUUCUUUGAUCAACUAUAGCUCUGGAGUUUUUGUAGAUUUUUAAAAUAAAACUCAGAGAUUCCUUGUAUGACUCUCUCAAAUCUCUCUUUUGUGGUAUUUCUAGAUCCUUACCAAGGCAGUGAUGGUAUAUGCCUUCUCUCAAAGUAUGUGGUAUUUUUGGUAUGACGCAUAGUGACAUUGCCUUCUCUCUCAUCCUACUCUAAUGAGGCUUUGAUAUUUGGAGCUCAUAGGUGGGAGACAACUAAUAUAUACUUACAAGACAUUUAUUGCAUAGUCAAACCAUGGAUCCAUAAGUCAAAACAAGAUGUGCAUGUGUGGCGAAUGAAUGGUGUAUGGUGAUGAUGGUGAUAACAAUGGUGAAAGUCUAAUUCUACGUUUGCUCUUUUGAGGGGAUACAUACCUUUCUUGCUCUUUUGAAACUUUUGAGGAGAAUGAGAUGCUCUACAUUUUCUUUUUCUUUCCUCUCAGGUGGGUAUCUUGUACCCCUAAUUCUAAUGUCGGACACUUGUCCAUUUUUACAUCUCGUCUCACUUUUUCUUUUCUUUCGAGGUUCCGGGCACUUGCCCCUUUUUAUUUCCUCGUACUUACUAUUAUUUUUAGAGCACUCACCCUCCUGGAAUAAUGUAGCAAGUGGUAGUAACCAAAAUAUCUCGAGCAUUUAUUUCACUGGGAAAAGCAGGAAUGGGAUAAUGUUUUUGGCUAUUCUCUCGCGGAUAGGAGUAGAAUAAUUUUGGGUGAAUCUGGAGAUGGAAAUGAGUGGAUGUAUGUGUAUGCGUACUUCCGGAGUAUAAGCAGCAUGUAUGAGUGAAUGUGCAAGUGAAUCUUGAUUUUAACCGCAUGACAAGUUUCUUGUCUACAUAGUUUGACCACACUCAAUGCUCAUAAGUAGUAAAAAGUAAAUGUAUGGUUCGUAGUCUAAUAAGCAUGUAUAUAUAGCUGUGGUAGGAUUUUAAACUCUCAUCAUACAGGAACUCAUCAUGCAACAUUUUAAAGAUUUUCAAAGAUAAAUUUCUCUAGAAUUCUAGCAUCUCUAGGAACAGAUAAACAGCAGCUCAACCUUCCCAUAUCAUAUCCCUUAACGACUUAGACUUUAGAUCAAGUACUCUUCCCACAAGUUCAGGUUUAGAGCAAAUCUUAAUUCAUAAUAGUCAUGCCUAAACUUGAGCGAGAUUUCAAUUUUGAGAACUAGUCACGGCAGAGCAACUUCAUUUAUUUAUUUAUUUAGUAAACUAUGCAAAGAUAUAUAUAUAAGCACAAAAAAUUUUAUUUGGGUUUUAUGAUUAUGCAUCUUUUUAUUAUUUGAGUAAAGUAUAAACGCGAGUAAAAACACUUAGCUCAAUAAAUGGGGGUGCUCUCCCCCAAGCUGGAUUUUGACGUAAUUUCUUUUGAUGUAGCUAGCAGGUGGAGGAGGUGUAUUUGAAUGUCGGCAGCACCCUAACAGCGAUUAGGAUGUCCUCCGUCUACUAGUUUUCUUGAUCCUUGAAUUCUGUGGAGCUCAAAUAGAUAAUAAAGCUUUGUAGAACUAGUUAUGUGUUAGCAUAAAUAUCUAGCCUUUAUCAUGUUGAGCCUCCUCAAUAAAUGUUAUUCUCUUUAGUGGGAUCACAAUCUUAUUUUUAUAUUUAUAUUUCUAUAGGACAGGAAUAUAUUUAUUUUAUUUUUACGCCACCACAGUGAAUAUACUUAUGGGUUUUAUGCCACGAGCAUACUCACAUGGGGCUUACUGUUUUUAACAUUUUUAUUUUCUUUUCAAGAUACUCCCUCCGUCCCUGAAAGCUGCAAUUUCUAGAGUUAUCUUAAGUCAAAUUUUUAAAACUUUGACCAAAUUUAUAGAAAAAAACAAUAAGAUUUAUAGUACCAAAUUAAUAUCAUUAGAUUUAUCAUUGAAUAUAUUUUCAUAAAAUACUCAUUUUAUGUUAUACAUAUUGAUGUUCUUUUCUGUAAAGUUGGUCAAAGUUAAAUAAGUUUGACUGGCACAGAUUUUAGGAAUUGAAGCUUUCAGGGACGGAGCGAGUAGCAUGAUUAACUAACAAGCCAUUUAAGGAAAGUAAAUAAUUAAAGGGAAAAGGGAAUGCAAAAAGGAUAAAUAUGGAUAACUAUCGAUUUUACCUUUCCGGGAGGGUUCAAUAUUUUAAGUCUUCUGAACAAGACUUCUCACCAUGUUCAUUCUUUAGGUGCAUCAUUUGAUUCAUGUGCCGACCUUGACGUCUGCACCUCUUGAUACGGUGUCACCCAUGUUCUUCAUUUGCCCAGCAGUUCGAAGUGCGGCAUUGCAGUAUCUUGCUCAGUGUGUUUGUGCUCGAAGAUCCAGGUCCUUCACUUGGUGGAAUCUGGGAGUUGUAAAACUCCUCCAUGUUUUGCUCGAAGUAUACCUUCUCAUAGAGACAAAGCAGAAAUCUAGUGCAUGGGCCCUGUUUGUGGAAAACACCAACAUAACCAAAAGUGUAUUUGUUCUUCUCUAACAUUAAGCAUAGUGAGCAAGACAAAUUUGAUGGAUAAUAAGAUCAUGAGUGUAGCAUUUAAAACAUUUGUCAGAUCAGAUCGCUCAACCUUAUGGAAAGAUAAUCUAUCUAUGUAUAUGUCUUUUCCUUUAUAUCUUCCCAUAGAUUGAAUGUGCAACAUUUUAGCUCAUAUGAUUAGGAGUGUGGGAUCACAAAGGUGGAAGGACUAAACAUGUUGAAUCAGUUGGGUUGGUUAAUUUGGAGUUAUAAAUCAUACAUGUUUGUCUCUUUUAUUCAUAUGAACGCCGGAACCAAGGAGAAGCAUAUAAAAGUGAUAGUCAAGUACCUUAAGAUGUUACCAUACUUGAAGAGUGAUGGUACAGUAUCACCUUGUGGAAGUUUUCCUUUCUUAGCGGCUGUGUAUCUUGUUUAUGUACUUUGUCUCCUUCCAUGGAUCAUUUCUUUAUGAGCUAUGUCCUUCUUGUGCAAAUUGUUACAUUUCAUGUGUCUCUCUCUUCAUCUCUGAUGUGAGUUUAUCUCAGGACUUUCCAAAUCGAUAUUGAAAGUAUUCCUGGAGGGGUUAGUCCAACAAAAUAUCCAAUAUCUACUAUAGCAUACUAUCGGCUCAAAAAUCAACCUAGACACCAUGUCUAAUUUGAUUUAGGAGGGCAUUUUAACCUAAGCACCAUGCUUAAUUUAAAAUCCCUUGGAAGUAAGAUCAUCAUUCCUAAACUAAGCACCAUGAUUAUUUAAGAGAUAAAUAAAACUACUCCAAACCUAGACAUAUACUGAAGCAAAUAAAGAUAGCAUGAGAGCAUUUUUAGAGAUCUACUCAAGUGGAGAUGAAGUAGUGUGAUUAGUAUUUAACAAAUUGAGGAUGUCUCAAAGGUAGGGACAACCAACAUAGCAACAUGGCAAAGGAUGUUUUUAUGUAAAGUACUCCCCCAAGCUUGAAUUUUGCAAAAUUCAAGUUUGGAUUUAAUUUAAUUCAAUGUUGUAUGAUGAUUGGUUGGACAUACCUUGUGCUUGUCAUUCAUCCGAUCUUCUUGCUCCAAUCCUGAAAAGGUUAGUGACAAGAAUACCCGAAGGAAUAUUUUUACAAUUAUCCUUAUAUGCUCAAUACACAAGGUAAUGUUGUAAAUAAUUAAAAGCUGAUUUUACGAUCUGAUCAGUGCUUAUUUUAGGACACUAAGCUUGUCCUUGGGAAACCAUCAAUUUAUGUCGGCGAAGUGGUUUCCCUUCCAACGCUGACCUAUAUCAAGAUCAACUCAACGAGAUCUUCAAUAUUUAUUAUAGACAUAUGCAUCGACAACCGCCCUUUUAAAGUUUUUAUAUAUAGAAAGGAAGAAGGUGUUGGAGAUCUCAGAUGUGAUGAUGUUGGAGAGACCAAUAGAUUGGGAAGAUGUUGCAUAUGAGCAUGGAGUAAACGAAGUGGCUAUGAAAUAAAUUCCAUGCUCAUUAAUGUUAUCUUCGUCUCCAAUCUGAAUGUUUGGAGUUUCUCCUGGAUUGGUCUCGCCUAUGUCCUCUUCUGUAGUUGGAUGAAUCUCAUUGUUGAUAUUUGGUAACGCAAUAAGGAAAUGAUCCACAAGCGCACGGAUAUCGGUGAGCAUUUCACCCGGGAGGUUAUCCAGAGUAUCGUAUUUAUAUUUUUACCACUGGGAGAAAGGGUGCAUCUGACUAACCAAAUCUAUUGCUACUAUCCCUUUAGGCUACAAAGAAUGUUUCUCGAUGUGAGUGAUGUAUAGAGAAGACUGCAACCGUAGUCUCGUUCUAAUCUUGGUAAGGAUGAUCUACUGUUCUAUUAGGGAAGCUUACAGAAUCUAGACACCACAAAGGAUGUUCGACCCGCACCUAUAAACCUACCCGUCCUGCUAACGAGAUAUGGGAUACAAAGGUAACUCGGAAAUGUCACGUUCCUCGCUACUACCACGGUCCAGCUAGUCAGGAGAUAUCUAUGAGUACCCUAGCCUAAACACCACGUUUACGCUAGCAAUGAUUACUCUAAUACUCAACCAGAAGAGGAUUAAAGUAAACUCAUAAACCAAAGAACAAUAAAACAAGAACUUACUAGAAUUAGAAGUCGAAUUACUGAAGAAUCUUAGGAGCAAGCCUCGGAUUAGAAGACUUGAUCCCGCAGGUACAACUCGGAGUAGACACCGACAGGCCGGCCUUCCUCCGAUGUACACCUCCACUCUAUCUCUCUCAAUCUAGUAGAAACUAGAAGAUCUAUUUCUACUUACAUUGGUUGCUAAGCCUAAAAAUAAAUAUUAUUUAGAGAAGAGGUUUUCCUUCGAGGGCACCCCUCAAUCUCUAUGAUAACUUCUUCUCUUCUCCAGGGGCCAGGGGGGUCUCCUUAUAUAGUCCUCCUCCUCUAUGCGUUUUUGGGUCGGUAGGCGAUGUGGUACUACGUUAUCCUUGAUCCUUUAGGUCGGUGGAACAUCGUGUGCGAAGAGAGUCCCGAACGGAGUCCAGGACAGGGCGGGCACCCAGGGAAAGAGGGCGGGCGCCCUGGGCCUGGCCCCUUUCGGCCUCUGCUUUCUUCGCGUGGCUUCUGGAGUCUUCUAGAUGGUAGAAAAUUGCGUGGUGCAUUGAUAUCUCUAUGUAAUCCCGACAUGUGGGCCUUUCUUUCGUAUUUCCUGAUAACCCCCUGCAGAAAUAGACAAACACCAAAACUCGUGGAAUUAUGUCAGAUAAAACCCUAAGUCUAGGUGUUGGUUGCAUUUGGAUCCUUUUCUUUAUUUAUUUGAUGAUUAUAUUUGGUAAUUAAGGACCGUCAACAACUCCCCCAAGCUUACCUCUUGCUCGUCCCUGAGCAAGGAUGAACUCAAGAGUUUCUGCAGUGGUUUCAUGCCUUAAAAGUAAGAUCUUAUCUCUGAGUUAGGGUAAACUGUUAAGACUUAAAAUUUACUCAUUUUACCUUUCACCAUGGGGCUUGUAACCGUCACCUGUGUCUUGAACAGUUAAAAGAUAGAACGGUCAAGUCAAGCGCCAUGUCUCUUAUUCUUGAUCAGCUAUAGCUCUAGAGUUUUUGCAGAUUUUCAAAUAAAACUCAGAGAUUCCUUAUAUGAUUCUCUCAAAUCUCUCUUUUGUGGUAUUUCUGGAUCCUUACCAAGGCAGUAAUGGUAUAUGCCUUCUCUCAAAGUAUGUGGUAUUUUUGGUAUGACGCAUAGUGACAUUGCCUUCUCUCUCAUCCUACUCUAAUGAGGCUUUGAUAUUUGGAGCUCAUAGGUGGGAGACAGCUAGUACAUACUUACAAGACAUUUAUUGCAUAGUCAAACCAUGGAUCCAGAGAAACAAGUCAAUAAGUCAAAUCAAGAUGUGCAUGUGUGGUGAAUGAAUAGUGUAUGGUGAUGAUGGUGAUAAUAAUGGUGAAAGUCUAAUUCUACUUUUGCUCUUUUGAUGGGAUACAUACCUUUCUUGCACUUUGAAGCUUUUUGAGGAGAAUGAGAUGCUCUGUAUUUUUUUUCUUUUCUCUCAGGUGGGUAUCUUGUACCCCUAAUUCUAUUGUCGGACACUUGUCCAUUUUUACCUCUCGUCUCACUUUUUAUUUUCUUCGAGGGUCCGGGCACUUGCCCCUUCUUAUUUCCUAGUAUUAUAUUUUUUUUCUUUUUUUUACUAGAGCACUCAUCUCCUGAAAGAAUGUAGCAAGUGGUAGUAACCAAAAUAACUGGAGCAUUUAUUUCACAGGGAAUAACAGGGAUAGGAAAAUGUUUUUGGCUAUUCUCUCCCGGAUUAGGAGUAGAAUAAUUUUGGGUGAAUCUGAAGAUGGAAAUGAGUGGAUGUAUGUGGAUGGUACUUCUGGAGUAGAAGUAGCAUGUAUGAGUGAACGUGCAAGUGAAUCUUGAUUUUAACCACAUGACAAGUUCCUAAGGGUCUACACAGCUUGACCACACUCAAUGCUCAUAAGCAGUAAAAAGUAAAUGUGUGGCUCAAAGUCUAGCAAACAUGUAUAUAUGGCUAUGGUAGGAAUUUAAACUCUCAUCAUACAGGAACUCAUCAUGUGUUAGUUUAAAGAUUUUUAAAGAUAAAAUUCUCCAAAAUUCUGGCAUCUCUAGAAACAGAUAAAUAGCAGCUCAACCUUCCCAUAUCAUAUCCGUUAACAACUUAGACUUUAGGUCAAGUACUCUCCCCACAAGUUCAGGUUUAGAGCAAAUCUUACUUCAUAACAGUCAUGCCUAAACUUGAGAGAGAUUUCAAUUUUAAGAACUAGUCAUGGCAGAGCAACUAUUCAUCAUUUCCAUGUGAGAGCUUAUCAUGCGGGUUCAUAGCAAACUUUAUUUAUUAUUUAUUUAGCAAACUAAGCAAAGAUAUAUAUAAAAGCACAAAAUCUUUAUUUGGGUUUUUAUGAUUAUGCAUCUUUUUAUUAUUUGCGUAAAGUAUAAAUGCGAGUAGAAACACUUAGCUCGAUAAAUGGGGGUGUUCUCCGACAAGCUGGAUUUUAACGUAAUUUCUUCUGAUGUAGCUAGCAGGUGACGGAGGUGUAUUUGAAUGUCGGCAGCACCCUGACAGCGAUUAGGAUGUCCUCUGUCUGCUAGUCUUCUUUGAUCCUUGAAUUCUGUGGAGCUCAAAUAGACAACAAAGCUUUGUGGAACUGGUUAAGUGUUAGCAUAAAUAUCUAGCUUUUAUCGUGUUGAGCCUCCACAAUAAAUAUUACUUAUUUAGCAGGAUCAUGCACUUAUUAUUUUUUUAUUUUUAUUGUAAGAUGAAAACAUAUUUAUUUUAUUUUUAUGCCACCACAGUGAAUGUACUUAUGGGUUUUAUGCCAUGAGCAUACUCACAUGGGGCUUACUAUUUUUUUAUUUUCUUUUCGAGAUGAUAUGAAUCCUGAUUAACUAAGCAAACUAUAAUUGAAUAAUUGAAAGGAAAAGGAUAACUACCAAGUUUACCUCUUGGCAAGGCGUUCGAUGUUUUUAAGUCCUCCGAACGGGACUCUCUGUUUUCUCAGUUGUCCUGGGAUUCGCUGGAUGGCGUAGUCGGUGAUUCCGGUGGCGCCUCCUCUUCGUGUAUAACUAUCUUCUCCCUCCACACGUGAUUCGGUGCUAUAGUCUCCUCAGGAUAGUUCUGUUCAAGCUGUAUGUCUUCAGACCUUACCACUUCUCCUUCGUUGUCUACCCAUCCGUCCUUGAUGAUUUGCCUCCUGUGAUUUCGGUUGCGUUGCUUAGAAUCUUCAACUAUAUAGUUAGGGUCAGUAAAACAGCGGCAUACCUUCUCAGAGGAGAAGUGUAUGUGGACUUUUCCAGUUCCAAUAUAGAUGAUGGCUUUGAUAGUGUUGAGGAACGGUCUUCCAAGGAUGAUGGGUGGAUUGUACUCGUCUUCUCCCAUGUCAAUGACCUGAAAAUCAUCUAGAGCUGAAUGUAUAUUGGUUGUAGGGGCAUGGUUCCAUACAGGAGCUGAUAAGUGACUGCGGCCAUUAUGUUGUCGUCAGAUCCGGUGUCGUAGAGUGUCUUCUGAAAAGAGUAUCCAUUGAUUGUGCAUUCGAUGCUUGGAACACCAGGGUCGUCCGUGUUCGUCCUUUAGGUGCAUCAUUUGAUUAGGUGUGGACCUUGAUGUCUGCACUUCUUGAUACGGUGUCACCCAUGUUCUUCGUUUGCCCAGCAGUUCGAAGUGCGGUGUUGGCAAUAUCCUGCUCAGUGUGUUUGUGCUCGUAGAUCCAGGUCCUUCACUUCGUGGAGUCUGGGAGUUGUAAAAUUCCUUCACGUUUCUCAAAAUGUGUCCUGCUCAUAGAAACAAGGCAGAGAUCAAGUGCAUGGGCUCUGUUGGUGGAAAACACCAACAGAACCAAAAGUGUAUUUGUUCUUCUCUAAUUCUUAAGCAUAGUGAGCAAGACAAAGUUGAUGGAUCAUGAGUGUAGCAUUUGUCAGAUUAGAUGGCUCAACCUAAUGGAAAGAUAAUCUAUCUAUAUUUAUGUUUUAUUUAUAUCUUCCAAAGAUUGAAUGUGCAACAUAUUAGCUUAUAUGAUUAGGAGUGUGGGAUCACGAAGGUAGUACUAAGAAUAAAGAUUAAAGGACUAAACAUGUUGAAUUAAUUGGGUUGGUUAAUUUGGAGUUACAAAUCAUACAUGUUUGUCUCUUUAUUUAUGUGAAUGCUAGAACCAAGGAGAAGCUUAUAAAAGCGAUAGUCAAGUACCUUAAGAGGUUAUCUUAAUUUAAGAGUGAUGGUACCAUCUCACCUUGUGGAAGCUUUCCUUUCUUAGCGGUUGUGCAUCGUGUUUGUGGCACCCUCCAUGGAUCAUCUCUUUAUGAUGAAUGAGCUAUGUCCUUGUGCAAAUUGUUAAAUUUCAUGUGUCUCCUUUAUCUUCAAUGUGAGUUUGUAUCUCAGGACUUCCCAAAUUGAUAUUGAAAGUUUUUCUGCAGGGGUUAGUCUGACAAAAUAUACCAAUGUCUACACAAGCAGUUUUUAGUUCAAUAACCGAACUAGACUCCAUGUCUAAUCAGAUUAAGGAAGGCUGUUUAACCUAAGCACCAUGCUUAAUUUAAAAGCCAAUAGAAGUAUGUGCAGUUCUUCCAAACUAACACUUACUAGGAUAAACAAAGGUAGCGUGAUGGCAUUUAUAGAGAUCUACUCAAGUGG
rnacentral:lncRNA from 1 species